rnacentral:rRNA from 1 species
AUAUUGGACAAUGGGCGCAAGCCUGAUCCAGCCAUGCCGCGUGUGUGAAGAAGGUCUUCGGAUUGUAAAGCACUUUCAGUUGGGAGGAAGGGCAGUGAGUUAAUACNUUGCUGUUUUGACGUUACCCACAGAAUAAGCACCGGCUAACUNNGUGCCAGCAGCCGCGGUAAUACNGAGGGUGCAAGCGUUAAUCGGAAUUACUGGGCGUAAAGCGCGCGUCGGUGGUUCGUUAAGUUGGAUGUGAAAUCCCCGGGCUCAACCUGGGAACUGCAUUCGAAACUGACGAGCUAGAGUAUGGUAGAGG